UGGCGCAGUGGGUAGAGCAGUGGACUUCUAACCAACAGGUCGCGAGUUCGAACCUCGC
rnacentral:tRNA from 1 species